AGCGCAUACGGUGGAUGCCUUGGCAGUCAGAGGCGAUGAAAGACGUGGUAGCCUGCGAAAAGCUUCGGGGAGUCGGCAAACAGACUUUGAUCCGGAGAUGUCUGAAUGGGGGAACCCAGCCAUCAUAAGAUGGUUAUCUUACGCUGAAUACAUAGGCGUAAGAGGCGAACCAGGGGAACUGAAACAUCUAAGUACCCUGAGGAAAAGAAAUCAACCGAGAUUCCCUUAGUAGUGGCGAGCGAACGGGGACUAGCCCUUAAGUGGCUUUGAGAUUAGCGGAACGUUCUGGAAAGUACGGCCAUAGUGGGUGAUAGCCCUGUACGCGAAAAUCUCUUAGUCAUGAAAUCGAGUAGGACGGAGCACGAGAAACUUUGUCUGAAUAUGGGGGGACCAUCCUCCAAGGCUAAAUACUACUGACUGACCGAUAGUGAACUAGUACCGUGAGGGAAAGGCGAAAAGAACCCCGGAGAGGGGAGUGAAAUAGAUCCUGAAACCGUAUGCGUACAAGCAGUGGGAGCAGACUUGUUCUGUGACUGCGUACCUUUUGUAUAAUGGGUCAGCGACUUAUUUUCAGUGGCGAGCUUAACCGAAUAGGGGAGGCGUAGCGAAAGCGAGUCUUAAUAGGGCGUCUAGUCGCUGGGAAUAGACCCGAAACCGGGCGAUCUAUCCAUGGGCAGGUUGAAGGUUGGGUAACACUAACUGGAGGACCGAACCGACUACCGUUGAAAAGUUAGCGGAUGACCUGUGGAUCGGAGUGAAAGGCUAAUCAAGCUCGGAGAUAGCUGGUUCUCCUCGAAAGCUAUUUAGGUAGCGCCUCAUGUAUCACUGUAGGGGGUAGAGCACUGUUUCGGCUAGGGGGUCAUCCCGACUUACCAAACCGAUGCAAACUCCGAAUACCUACAAGUGCCGAGCAUGGGAGACACACGGCGGGUGCUAACGUCCGUCGUGAAAAGGGAAACAACCCAGACCGUCAGCUAAGGUCCCAAAGUUAUGGUUAAGUGGGAAACGAUGUGGGAAGGCUUAGACAGCUAGGAGGUUGGCUUAGAAGCAGCCACCCUUUAAAGAAAGCGUAAUAGCUCACUAGUCGAGUCGGCCUGCGCGGAAGAUGUAACGGGGCUCAAACCAUACACCGAAGCUACGGGUAUCACGUAAGUGAUGCGGUAGAGGAGCGUUCUGUAAGCCUGUGAAGGUGAGUUGAGAAGCUUGCUGGAGGUAUCAGAAGUGCGAAUGCUGACAUGAGUAACGACAAUGGGUGUGAAAAACACCCACGCCGAAAGACCAAGGUUUCCUGCGCAACGUUAAUCGACGCAGGGUUAGUCGGUCCCUAAGGCGAGGCUGAAAAGCGUAGUCGAUGGAAAACAGGUUAAUAUUCCUGUACUUCUGGUUAUUGCGAUGGAGGGACGGAGAAGGCUAGGCCAGCUUGGCGUUGGUUGUCCAAGUUUAAGGUGGUAGGCUGGAAUCUUAGGUAAAUCCGGGAUUCUAAGGCCGAGAGCUGAUGACGAGCUAACUUUUAGUUAGCGAAGUGGUUGAUGCCAUGCUUCCAAGAAAAGCUUCUAAGCUUCAGGUAACCAGGAACCGUACCCCAAACCGACACAGGUGGUUGGGUAGAGAAUACCAAGGCGCUUGAGAGAACUCGGGUGAAGGAACUAGGCAAAAUGGCACCGUAACUUCGGGAGAAGGUGCGCCGGUGAGGGUGAAGGACUUGCUCCGUAAGCUCAUGCCGGUCGAAGAUACCAGGCCGCUGCGACUGUUUAUUAAAAACACAGCACUCUGCAAACACGAAAGUGGACGUAUAGGGUGUGACGCCUGCCCGGUGCCGGAAGGUUAAUUGAUGGGGUUAGCUAACGCGAAGCUCUUGAUCGAAGCCCCGGUAAACGGCGGCCGUAACUAUAACGGUCCUAAGGUAGCGAAAUUCCUUGUCGGGUAAGUUCCGACCUGCACGAAUGGCGUAACGAUGGCGGCGCUGUCUCCACCCGAGACUCAGUGAAAUUGAAAUCGCUGUGAAGAUGCAGUGUAUCCGCGGCUAGACGGAAAGACCCCGUGAACCUUUACUAUAGCUUUGCACUGGACUUUGAAUUUGCUUGUGUAGGAUAGGUGGGAGGCUUUGAAGCGUGGACGCCAGUCUGCGUGGAGCCAUCCUUGAAAUACCACCCUGGCAACUUUGAGGUUCUAACUCAGGUCCGUUAUCCGGAUCGAGGACAGUGUAUGGUGGGUAGUUUGACUGGGGCGGUCUCCUCCUAAAGAGUAACGGAGGAGUACGAAGGUGCGCUCAGACCGGUCGGAAAUCGGUCGUAGAGUAUAAAGGCAAAAGCGCGCUUGACUGCGAGACAGACACGUCGAGCAGGUACGAAAGUAGGUCUUAGUGAUCCGGUGGUUCUGUAUGGAAGGGCCAUCGCUCAACGGAUAAAAGGUACUCCGGGGAUAACAGGCUGAUACCGCCCAAGAGUUCAUAUCGACGGCGGUGUUUGGCACCUCGAUGUCGGCUCAUCACAUCCUGGGGCUGAAGCCGGUCCCAAGGGUAUGGCUGUUCGCCAUUUAAAGUGGUACGCGAGCUGGGUUUAGAACGUCGUGAGACAGUUCGGUCCCUAUCUGCCGUGGACGUUUGAGAUUUGAGAGGGGCUGCUCCUAGUACGAGAGGACCGGAGUGGACGAACCUCUGGUGUUCCGGUUGUCACGCCAGUGGCAUUGCCGGGUAGCUAUGUUCGGAAUAGAUAACCGCUGAAAGCAUCUAAGCGGGAAACUAGCCUCAAGAUGAGAUCUCACUGGAACCUUGA
rnacentral:rRNA from 1 species